rnacentral:rRNA from 1 species
CCUACGGGCGGCUGCAGUGGGGAAUUUUUGUCAAUGGGCGAAAGCCUGAACGAGCGACACCGCGUGAACGACGAAGAUCUUAGGAUUGUAAAGUUCUUUUGCUUGAGAAGAACACGGUUGCGACAACAUCAAUACCGUCUGACGGUACCAAGCGAAUAAGCUCCAGCCAACUACGUGCCAGCAGCUGCGGUAAUACGUAGGGAGCGAGCGUUAUCCGGAAUUACUGGGUGUAAAGGGUGCGCAGGCGUCUUGUUGUGUUAGGAGUUAAAUCUCAAGGCUUAACCUUGGGGCUGCUCCUAAAACUGGCAGGAUAGAGUGUGGAAGACGGAAGUGGAAUUUCUAGUGGAGAGGUAAAAUCCGUUGAUAUUAGAAGGAACACCCGUGGUGUAAACGGCUUCCGAGUCCAUAACUGACGCUCAGGCACGAAAGCUAGGGUAGCAAACAGGAUUAGAUACCCUAGUAGUC